rnacentral:rRNA from 1 species
UACCAGCACCCCGAGUUGUCGGGACGAUUAUUGGGCCUAAAGCAUCCGUAGCCUGUUCUACAAGUCCUCCGUUAAAUCCACCUGCUCAACAGAUGGGCUGCGGGGGAUACUAUAGGGCUAGGAGGCGGGAGAGGCAAACGGUACUCAGUGGGUAGGGGUAAAAUCCGUUGAUCCAUUGAAGACCACCAGUGGCGAAGGCGGCUUGCCAGAAUGCGCUCGACGGUGAGGGAUGAAAGCUGGGGGAGCAAACCGG